rnacentral:rRNA from 1 species
AUUGAACGCUGGCGGCAUGCUUUACACAUGCAAGUCGAACGGCAGCACGGGGGCAACCCUGGUGGCGAGUGGCGAACGGGUGAGUAAUAUAUCGGAACGUACCCGGAAAUGGGGGAUAACGUAGCGAAAGUUACGCUAAUACCGCAUAUGCCCUAAGGGGGAAAGCGGGGGAUUCGCAAGAACCUCGCGUUUUCGGAGCGGCCGAUAUCGGAUUAGCUAGUAGGUGAGGUAAAGGCUCACCUAGGCGACGAUCCGUAGCUGGUCUGAGAGGACGACCAGCCACACUGGAACUGAGACACGGUCCAGACUCCUACGGGAGGCAGCAGUGGGGAAUUUUGGGACAAUGGGCGCAAGCCUGAUCCAGCCAUGCCGCGUGAGUGAAGAAGGCCUCGG